rnacentral:rRNA from 1 species
AUACGGAGGAUCCGAGCGUUAUCCGGAUUUAUUGGGUUUAAAGGGUGCGUAGGCUGUUCGGAAAGUCAGGGGUGAAAGCCCGGCGCCUAACGCCGGAACUGCCUUUGAUACUUCCGAGCUGGAAUACGGAUGCCGUGGGAGGAAUGAGUAGUGUAGCGGUGAAAUGCAUAGAUAUUACUCAGAACACCGAUUGCGAAGGCAUCUCACGAAUCCGUCAUUGACGCUGAGGCACGAAAGCGUGGGGAUCAAACAGGAUUAGAUACCCUGGUAGUCCACGCAGUAAACGAUGAUGACUAACCGUCGGCGAUACACAGUCGGUGGCCAAGCGAAAGCGAUAAGUCAUCCACCUGGGGAGUACGUUCGCAAGAAUGAAACUCAAAUGAAUCGACGGGG